UCAGCGAUGUUGAAGUCUCCUCCGAUUUACAGGUGGUUAAGGUAUAUGUAUCUGUUUUUGGUGAUGAAAGAGGAAAGGAGGUAGCCCUUUCUGGGCUGAAGGAUAAAGCCAAAUAUGUGCGUGGCCAACUAGGCAAGCGUAUGAAAUUACGCCUCACUCCUGAGAUACGCUUUAUCCAAGAUGAAUCUUUAGAGAGAGGAAGCAGGGUAACAACUUCUUUUUUUCAUUUUCAACACAAAUUUCACCUCUGUAGUUUAAUUGGUGAAUUGGAAUUGGGGUGAAAGUAGGUAAUGUUUGGUGGUGUUAUGUGUCGUGUUAUGUAAGAUUGAUUUUGGUUGCCUCUGAUCGGUGGUGGCGGUUGUCUGGUUGUGUUGUUGCAGGUUAAGGAGAGAAUGGGGAAGAAGACAUAGGCUGGGGGUGGGGUGGGUAGGUGGGGCCCAUAUGUAUUUUUUUAUUCUUUUAAUGUUUUAUUUGUUGUUUUUUAAUAGUAAGGGCAUUA
rnacentral:lncRNA from 1 species